UCAGUAUUCUGUGUAACUUUCACUCGCAAUGGAGCACUAAUUAACCCUCAUCUGCUACAGUAGCCUCAAGCCAUCGACACCAACGACAGACGUCGCAUACCAUCAACUGAUGUCUUGUACUAACAGUUUUAAGGAUGGAAAUUUCUUGAGUGAGUGGGACGGAAUUGGGGAGGAUUGGGAGAUCUGGUGUCAUCGGUCUUCUUCUACUUGAUAGAAUCCAGUCCAGACAACCAACAAGCAGUUACUUUUCACCUAUUCAGUCAUUUCUAAUAAAUAAGUUGGGAUUUUA